rnacentral:ncRNA from 1 species
UAUAAGUUGUAUUAUAAAUUUUAUAAGAAGUUAAUAAAUUUAAUUAUAGUUUUAUAGUUAGUUAAAAAAUUUGUAUAUAUAUAAAUAUUAAAUAUUUAAUAUAAAAAUUAGUAGUAUAUAAAUUUAAUAAAGUUAAAAAUAUUUAAUUUUAGGAAUUUUUAUAAUUUGGAUAAAUAAUUGUGCCAGCAAUCGUGGUUAAACAAUUCAAAUAAAUUAAUUUAAUUAAAUUAAAAUUAAAUGGAUAUAUUUAUAAUAAAAAUUUAAAUUGUUAGGUGAAAUUAAUUAAUUUAUAAUUGUUAUAUUUUUAAUAUAAAUUGAGUUUUUAAAAGAUUUAUAAAAAACUAGGAUUAGAUACCCUAUUAUAUUAUUAAAAGAGUUUAAUUUUAAUAUUAAAUGAUUAAUCAUUAAAUUUAAAUAAUUUGGCGGUAUUUUAAUUUUAUUAGAGGAAUUUGUUAAUUAAUUGAUAAUACUCGAUAAGUUAAACUUUAAUUAAAUUUUUAUAUUGUUGUUUUAAGAGUAUUUUUGUAAAAAUUAUUUAAAAUUUUUUUUUUUAAAAUUAAUUCAGAUCAAAAUGGAGUAUAUAUUAAAGAGUUAAUGAGUUACAAUAAAUUUGAUUUAAAUGAAUUUAUAAUUUAAAAAUUAUAAUGAAGGUGGAUUUAAAAGUAAAAUAAAAUAAUUAUUUUAUUUGAUUAAAAUUUUAAAGUAUGUACAAAUUGCCCGUCGUUCUCUUUGAAAAAAGAGGUAAGUCGUAACAAAGUAAAAGUACUGGAAAGUGUUUUUAGAU